rnacentral:rRNA from 1 species
CACGUGAGGGACGAGCGUUGUCCGGAUUCAUUGGGCGUAAAGCGUGCGUAGGCGGUUCCUCAAGUCCGUUGUGAAAGCCCCGGGCUCAACCUGGGAAUGGCAGUGGAAACUAGGGGACUGGAAUCUGGCAGAGGGGGGUGGAAUGCCGCGUGUAGCAGUGAAAUGCGUAGAGAUGCGGCGGAACACCGAUGGCGAAGGCAGCCCCCUGGGCUGAGAUUGACGCUCAGGCACGAAAGCGUGGGGGAGCAAACAGG